AACGAACGCUGGCGGCAUGCCUAACACAUGCAAGUCGAACGAGACCUUCGGGUCUAGUGGCGCACGGGUGCGUAACGCGUGGGAACCUGCCCUUAGGUUCGGAAUAACUCCCCGAAAGGGGUGCUAAUACCGGAUAAUGUCUUCGGACCAAAGAUUUAUCGCCUUUGGAUGGGCCCGAGUUGGAUUAGCUAGUUGGUAGGGUAAAAGCCUACCAAGGCGACGAUCCAUAGCUGGUCUGAGAGGAUGAUCAGCCACACUGGGACUGAGACACGGCCCAGACUCCUACGGGAGGCAGCAGUGGGGAAUAUUGGACAAUGGGCGAAAGCCUGAUCCAGCAAUGGCGCGUGAGUGAUGAAGGCCUUAGGGUUGUAAAGCUCUUUUAACCGGGAUGAUAAUGACAGUACCGGGAGAAUAAGCACCGGCUAACUCCGUG
rnacentral:rRNA from 1 species